rnacentral:rRNA from 1 species
UACGUAGGGUGCAGGCGUUAAUCGGAAUUACUGGGCGUAAAGCGUGCGCAGGCGGCUUUGCAAGUCAGAUGUGAAAUCCCCGGGCUUAACCUGGGAACUGCAUUUGUGACUGCAGAGCUGGAGUGCGGCAGAGGGGGAUGGAAUUCCGCGUGUAGCAGUGAAAUGCGUAGAUAUGCGGAGGAACACCGAUGGCGAAGGCGGCGAUCUGGGUCGAUACUGACGCUGAGGUGCGAAAGCGUGGGGAGCAAACAGG